UCGAUCAAAGAAGCAAGGGGCGAUAGGGGUUUUCUUCAAACCCUAAAAUCCUCACAAAAUUCACAAAUUGAAGCCUCUAAUCAAGUCUAAAUCGAAUCUCAAGCACAAAUUCAUGAUCACCUAGUUGAAAGGAUCAUAAGUUUGACACUUAAUGAGCAAGGUGGAGGCUUGGGAAGAAACGGGUCAAAUGAAUCGAGAA